UACGUAGGGGGCUAGCGUUGUCCGGAAUCAUUGGGCGUAAAGCGCGUGUAGGCGGUUCGGUAAGUCUGCUGUGAAAGUCGGGGGGCUCAACCCUCGAAUGCCGGUGGAUACUGCCGGGCUCGAGUCCGGAAGAGGCGAGUGGAAUUCCCGGUGUAGCGGUGAAAUGCGCAGAUAUCGGGAGGAACACCAAUGGCGAAGGCAGCUCGCUGGGACGUGACUGACGCUGAGACGCGAAAGCGUGGGGAGCAAACAGG
rnacentral:rRNA from 1 species